rnacentral:rRNA from 1 species
AUAGCUGGUUCUCCCCGAAAUAGCUUUAGGGCUAGCCUCAAGGUGAGAGAUACGGAGGUAGAGCACUGAAUGUCCUAGGGGGUAUUGCACCUACCGAAGACUAUCAAACUCCGAAUGCCGUCAUCUUAUACUUGGGAGUCAGACUGUGGGUGAUAAGAUUCAUAGUCGAAAGGGCAACAGCUCAGAUCGUCAGCUAAGGUCACUAAAUGUAAGUUAAGUGGUAAAGGAUGUGGGAUUGCACAGACAAGCAGGAUGUUGGCUUAGAAGCAGCCACUCAUUCAAAGAGUGCGUAAUAGCUCACUGGUCGAGUGAUCCUGCGCCGAAGAUUUCCGGGGCUAAAAC